rnacentral:rRNA from 1 species
ACGGGAGGCAGCAGUAGGGAAUUUUCGGCAAUGGGGGAAACCCUGACCGAGCAAUGCCGCGUGAAUGAUGAAGUUCUUCGGAACGUAAAAUUCUGUUAUUAGGGACGAAAUGUAUGCGUAGGUAAUGACGUAUAUUUGACGGUACCUGAUUAGAAAGCCUCGGCUAACUAUGUGCCAGCAGCCGCGGUAAUACAUAGGAGGCGAGCGUUAUCCGGAUUUAUUGGGCGUAAAGAGUGCGUAGGUUGUCACUUAAGUCUGCCGUGAAAGCCCACAGCUUAACUGUGGAGGGUCGGUGGAAACUGGGUGACUUGAAUGCGGAAGAGGUAAGUGGAAUUCCAUGUGUAGCGGUAAAAUGCACAGAUAUAUGGAGGAACACCAGUGGCGAAGGCGGCUUACUGGUCCGUUAUUGACACUGAGGCACGAAAGCGUGGGGAGCAAACAGGAUUAGAUACCCUGGUA